AUUGAACGCUGGCGGCAGGCCUAACACAUGCAAGUCGAGCGGAAGAGGCGAGCUUGCUCCUGGAUUUAGGGGCGGAGGGGGGAGUAAUGCCUAGGAAUCCGCCUGGUAUCUGCGGAUAACGUCCGGAUACCGGCGCUAAUACCGCAUACGUCCCUAGUGCGCAAUUGGGGGAUCUUCGGAUCUCACGCCAUCAUAUUAGCCUAGGGGGGAUUAGCUGGCUGGUGUGGUAAAUGCAUACCAAGGCGACCAUCCGUAACUGGUCUGAGAGGAUGAUCAGGCACCCCGGAUCUGAGACUCGGCCCAGACUCCUACGCUAGGCAGCAGUGCGGAAUAUUAGACAAUGCGCUAGAGGCUAAUCCAGCCCUGCCGCGUAUGUGAAGAAGGUCUUCGGAUUGUAGAGCAAUUUAAGUUGGGAGGAAGGACAGUAAGUUUAUCCCUUGCUGUUUUGACGUUACCAACAGAAUAAGCACCGGCUAACUCCGUG
rnacentral:rRNA from 1 species